UGUGAGCUCGAUGAGUAGGGCGGGACACGUGGUAUCCUGUCUGAAUAUGGGGGGACCAUCCUCCAAGGCUAAAUACUCCUGACUGACCGAUAGUGAACCAGUACCGUGAGGGAAAGGCGAAAAGAACCCCGGCGAGGGGAGUGAAAAAGAACCUGAAACCGUGUACGUACAAGCAGUGGGAGCACGCUUAGGCGUGUGACUGCGUACCUUUUGUAUAAUGGGUCAGCGACUUAUAUUCUGUAGCAAGGUUAACCGAAUAGGGGAGCCGAAGGGAAACCGAGUCUUAACUGGGCGUUAAGUUGCAGGGUAUAGACCCGAAACCCGGUGAUCUAGCCAUGGGCAGGUUGAAGGUUGGGUAACACUAACUGGAGGACCGAACCGACUAAUGUUGAAAAAUUAGCGGAUGACUUGUGGCUGGGGGUGAAAGGCCAAUCAAACCGGGAGAUAGCUGGUUCUCCCCGAAAGCUAUUUAGGUAGCGCCUCGUGAAUUCAUCUCCGGGGGUAGAGCACUGUUUCGGCAAGGGGGUCAUCCCGACUUACCAACCCGAUGCAAACUGCGAAUACCGGAGAAUGUUAUCACGGGAGACACACGGCGGGUGCUAACGUCCGUCGUGAAGAGGGAAACAACCCAGACCGCCAGCUAAGGUCCCAAAGUCAUGGUUAAGUGGGAAACGAUGUGGGAAGGCCCAGACAGCCAGGAUGUUGGCUUAGAAGCAGCCAUCAUUUAAAGAAAGCGUAAUAGCUCACUGGUCGAGUCGGCCUGCGCGGAAGAUGUAACGGGGCUAAACCAUGCACCGAAGCUGCGGCAGCGACGCUUAUGCGUUGUUGGGUAGGGGAGCGUUCUGUAAGCCUGUGAAGGUGUGCUGUGAGGCAUGCUGGAGGUAUCAGAAGUGCGAAUGCUGACAUAAGUAACGAUAAAGCGGGUGAAAAGCCCGCUCGCCGGAAGACCAAGGGUUCCUGUCCAACGUUAAUCGGGGCAGGGUGAGUCGACCCCUAAGGCGAGGCCGAAAGGCGUAGUCGAUGGGAAACAGGUUAAUAUUCCUGUACUUGGUGUUACUGCGAAGGGGGGACGGAGAAGGCUAUGUUGGCCGGGCGACGGUUGUCCCGGUUUAAGCGUGUAGGCUGGUUUUCCAGGCAAAUCCGGAAAAUCAAGGCUGAGGCGUGAUGACGAGGCACUACGGUGCUGAAGCAACAAAUGCCCUGCUUCCAGGAAAAGCCUCUAAGCAUCAGGUAACAUCAAAUCGUACCCCAAACCGACACAGGUGGUCAGGUAGAGAAUACCAAGGCGCUUGAGAGAACUCGGGUGAAGGAACUAGGCAAAAUGGUGCCGUAACUUCGGGAGAAGGCACGCUGAUAUGUAGGUGAAGCGACUUGCUCGUGGAGCUGAAAUCAGUCGAAGAUACCAGCUGGCUGCAACUGUUUAUUAAAAACACAGCACUGUGCAAACACGAAAGUGGACGUAUACGGUGUGACGCCUGCCCGGUGCCGGAAGGUUAAUUGAUGGGGUCAGCGCAAGCGAAGCUCUUGAUCGAAGCCCCGGUAAACGGCGGCCGUAACUAUAACGGUCCUAAGGUAGCGAAAUUCCUUGUCGGGUAAGUUCCGACCUGCACGAAUGGCGUAAUGAUGGCCAGGCUGUCUCCACCCGAGACUCAGUGAAAUUGAACUCGCUGUGAAGAUGCAGUGUACCCGCGGCAAGACGGAAAGACCCCGUGAACCUUUACUAUAGCUUGACACUGAACAUUGAGCCUUGAUGUGUAGGAUAGGUGGGAGGCUUUGAAGUGUGGACGCCAGUCUGCAUGGAGCCGACCUUGAAAUACCACCCUUUAAUGUUUGAUGUUCUAACGUUGACCCGUAAUCCGGGUUGCGGACAGUGUCUGGUGGGUAGUUUGACUGGGGCGGUCUCCUCCUAAAGAGUAACGGAGGAGCACGAAGGUUGGCUAAUCCUGGUCGGACAUCAGGAGGUUAGUGCAAUGGCAUAAGCCAGCUUGACUGCGAGCGUGACGGCGCGAGCAGGUGCGAAAGCAGGUCAUAGUGAUCCGGUGGUUCUGAAUGGAAGGGCCAUCGCUCAACGGAUAAAAGGUACUCCGGGGAUAACAGGCUGAUACCGCCCAAGAGUUCAUAUCGACGGCGGUGUUUGGCACCUCGAUGUCGGCUCAUCACAUCCUGGGGCUGAAGUAGGUCCCAAGGGUAUGGCUGUUCGCCAUUUAAAGUGGUACGCGAGCUGGGUUUAGAACGUCGUGAGACAGUUCGGUCCCUAUCUGCCGUGGGCGCUGGAGAACUGAGGGGGGCUGCUCCUAGUACGAGAGGACCGGAGUGGACGCAUCACUGGUGUUCGGGUUGUCAUGCCAAUGGCACUGCCCGGUAGCUAAAUGCGGAAGAGAUAAGUGCUGAAAGCAUCUAAGCACGAAACUUGCCCCGAGAUGAGUUCUCCCUGACUCCUUGAGAGUCCUGAAGGAACGUUGAAGACGACGACGUUGAUAGGCCGGGUGUGUAAGCGCAGCGAUGCGUUGAGCUAACCGGUACUAAUGAACCGUGAGGCUUAACCUUACAACGCCGAAGCUGUU
rnacentral:rRNA from 1 species